rnacentral:rRNA from 1 species
UACGUAGGGUGCAAGCGUUAAUCGGAAUUACUGGGCGUAAAGCGUGCGCAGGCGGUUAUGCAAGACAGAUGUGAAAUCCCCGGGCUUAACCUGGGAAUGGCAUUUGGGACUGCAAGGCUGGAGUUUGGCAGAGGAGACUGGAAUUCCUGGUGUAGCAGUGAAAUGCGUAGAUAUCAGGAGGAAUACCGAUGGCGAAGGCAGGUCUCUGGGCUAUAACUGACGCUCAUGCACGAAAGCGUGGGGAGCAAACAGG